UACGAGGAAAGUAUUAAUUUUGAAGUUUCUGCUUUUAGAAAGAGAGAGUAACCAUUCGAUUCGUUCGAAGGUCCGUUUUUGUUGACGGUCCAUCGCUUAUUGUUUUAUGUUGGUUUACGCCAACGAUAAAUACUGGUAUAAUUUUUUAACGAUUUUGACGAACGAGAUCGCUUCAAAGACGAAUAUUCGAGUGAGAAUAAGAUUCUUCCGAACUUUCGAAUGCGCGCUUCGUUUUGUUUGAAAAAAUCGUGUCAAAAAAUGAUGUUUUCUCGACGAUAAUUCGUGCAUAAAAGUAAAGGAUAAGGUUAAUUUUAAAACGUUUAAAUCGUCGUUAUAGCGAAGUCUCGUUACGCGCACGUAAGUUUGUCUCUGUUUUUGAAUACAUACAAGAGGCUCUUCGUCGAAAGAGAAAGAUAACAUUAGCAUAUAGAUGAUAGCUUAAAGGUUCCUCUACCUAUUGUUUCCGGCAAACAACGAAAGAAAAACCGUUCGAGCGUGAUAAAUUGUUGUUACCACGUGUGUAUAUAUAUGUCGUACGUGUAUACAAUUCGGAGAAUUGGGGAAGUAUGUAGUGAAAAGUAAUUGUAAAUAAACAAGGGACGAUCGGAGAGAUCAACCUUGACACGACUUUCCCACAUUCGUCGUUCUUACUAAGGCGUUAGUACGCAGUAUUCGUUCCUCUAAGCAUCUCUUUGGACGUGUUUUAUCUAGACAACGAACGCCUGUAACACGCUUGCAUCGUUUGCAAGACAUUCGUGGUAGACUGUCGCAUAUGCGCGUACAUCACCUGUGCAAUGAAAUUCAAAGAGAGUGAUGGAAAGACGAUAUUGUAAUUGUUGAAUUUCUUAUCGAUUUUUAAUGUACAGAUUAUAAAUAAAAAUAAAAAAGCUUUUAUAAUGAGAAUUAAUUUAAAAAAUACUAAAUGCGCUCUGUGUAAUAUAUUUAAAUUUCAUAAAUAAAUGAAUAGUUUAUACGCUUAAUUAUGAUUGUGUAUGCGAUAAAAAGUAAAGAUUAAAAUAUAAUUAGUUUAUGAUAUUCGUUUACCGCGCACAUAAAUUUCCAAGGAUGUCUAGUUGACAAUAGAAGAUUUCGUAGUUCUAGGAUGCAAUUUAUACGAUUAUGUAAAACUUAACCUUUUCGAUUUUCAGUAAAUAUUUAUCAAUGAAUGAAA